rnacentral:rRNA from 1 species
AGAUGCCUACAACAUAGCGUUAAUGCAUUAGAUCCCAUUAUAACUCCGUAGUUAAGCGCGCUCAGGCUAGAGUAGUACUGGGAUGAGUGACCACUCGGGAAGUCCUACUAUUUUACAUGCC